rnacentral:rRNA from 1 species
CCUACGGGUGUCAGCAGUGAGGAAUAUUGGUCAAUGGGCUUACGCCUGAACCAGCCAAGUAGCGUGAGGGAAGACUGCCCUAUGGGUUGUAAACCUCUUUUGUCAGGGAGCAAUUGGCGCUACGGGUAGCGUUCUCGAGAGUACCUGAAGAAAAAGCAUCGGCUAACUCCGUGCCAGCAGCCGCGGUACUACGGAGUAUGCGAGCGUUAUCCGGAUUUAUUGGGUUUACAGGGUGCGUAGGCGGAAUGCCAAGUCAGCGGUAAAAUCGCGGGGCUCAACCUCGCUCCGCCGUUGAAACUGGCGUUCUUGAGUGGGCGAGAAGUAUGCGGAAUGCGUGGUGUAGCGGUGAAAUGCUUAGAUAUAACUUAGAACUCCGAUAGCGAAGGCAGCUUACCAGACUGCGACUGACGCUGAAGCACGAGAGCGUGGGUAGCGAACAGGAUUAGAUACCCCAGUAGUC